AUUGAACGCUGGCGGCAUGCCUUACACAUGCAAGUCGAACGGCAGCGGGCCUUCGGGUGCCGGCGAGUGGCGAACGGGUGAGUAAUGCAUCGGAACGUGCCAUUGAGUGGGGGAUAACGUAGCGAAAGUUGCGCUAAUACCGCAUAUUCUGUGAGCAGGAAAGCAGGGGGACCGCAAGGCCUUGCGCUCUUUGAGCGGCCGAUGUCAGAUUAGCUAGUUGGUGAGGUAAAGGCUUACCAAGGCGACGAUCUGUAGCGGGUCUGAGAGGAUGAUCCGCCACACUGGAACUGAGACACGGUCCAGACUCCUACGGGAGGCAGCAGUGGGGAAUUUUGGACAAUGGGGGCAACCCUGAUCCAGCCAUGCCGCGUGAGUGAAGAAGGCCUUCGGGUUGU
rnacentral:rRNA from 1 species